GCGCAGCAGUCGAGAAUCUUUGCAAUGCCCGAAAGGGUGACAAUGCGACGCCGCGUGAGCGAUGAAGGCCUUCGGGUUGUAAAGCUCUGUCAGCUCGGAUGGAAGCAGGGAAGCCAAUACCUUUUCUGUCUGACGGUACGAGCAGAGGAAGCUACGGCUAACUCCGUGCCAGCAGCCGCGGUAAUACGGAGGUGGCAAGCGUUGUUCGGAUUUACUGGGUGUAAAGGUCAUGUAGGCGUCAUACUAAGUCGGAUGUGAAUCCCCUGGCUCAACCAGGGAACUGCAUUCGAUACUGGUCAGAUUGAGUACGGGAGAGGAAAGCGGAAUUCCGGAAGUAAGGGUGAAAUCUGUAGAUAUCCGGAAGAACAACCAUUAGCGAAGGCGGCUUUCUGGCCCGAUACUGACGCUGAAAUGAGAAAGCUAGGGUAGCGAACAGGAUUAAGAUA
rnacentral:rRNA from 1 species